UUAUAAGAGAACUCUUAAGAU
rnacentral:piRNA from 1 species